AGUGCACAGAAACCAUGCAACAGGAAGAAGCUGUUUUUCUCUUGGUUGAUGCAAGUUAUUUUUGUACAGUAUUGACACACUUUUUCUCUUAUGAAUAUUGUACUUGUGAUUUCUAAUAGUUUUUAUUAGUUUGUUUAUUUUGUGUUACAGGAAACUUCCACCUAAACAGAUGCUGAGGCCCAGAUUUCCCUGCCAAGCACUCCAAGGCUCAUCAUGCUCGGAGAGUCCAUUCUGGGGGCAAAAAAUGGAUGCUUUCCAUCGAGGGCAGAGUUCUCCUCCAAUUGAGUGACCGUUGUGAUUUCACUUCUGCUCCAGCCUUUUUGCGUCAUACUAUGUAUGAUGCAGCCACUACAUUGGAAUUUAUCCAGAGGGUAGAGUCCAGCCCAGGAAGUCAACUAGUUCAGGUCCAGUUUUAAAAGAAUAAUAGUUCUGAAAAAAAAACGUCUUGGAGAAAAACAAUAUUCAGGUUUGAAAUCCUGCUGUAAAUAUAAAUCAUUUAAUUUUUAUGCAUUUGUAAUUUACCAGAAACAUUUUAAUAAAUAUUGAUUGUUUUGUGUGUUCAGAAAAGUGUUUUUGUAUGAAGUGUUGAAAUUAAAUGAAAUAUAACACACAAUAUCACAGAAAAAUUUUAACAUAUAAAAAAAAAUGUAUGUGUUCAGAAAAGUUUUGAGAUGUUCACCGAAAAAAUGUAACAUGUUGAAAAAAAAUGUUUUCUAUUUUUAAUUUAUGAAUUUUUGUAAUUUAAAGUGAGAAAAUAAAUGGCAUUUUUGUGACAAACAGUGUCUUCAUUUUACAGUACACAAAAUAAAUGCAGUAAUCCCUAUUACAGUAGUAGUUAUGAAAUACAGUACUGUGAUUAUUACUGUAAAAGAGUUCACAGUAAUUUUAAUUUUACUGCAGUUACAUUUACAGUAAGAAUACUGUGAAAUGAAAUACAGCAACUUA